UGGGGAAUAUUGGACAAUGGGGGCAACCCUGAUCCAGCAAUGCCGCGUGUGUGAAGAAGGUCUUCGGAUUGUAAAGCACUUUCGACGGGGACGAUGAUGACGGUACCCGUAGAAGAAGCCCCGGCUAACUUCGUGCCAGCAGCCGCGGUAAUACGAAGGGGGCUAGCGUUGCUCGGAAUGACUGGGCGUAAAGGGCGUGUAGGCGGUUUACACAGUCAGAUGUGAAAUCCCCGGGCUUAACCUGGGAGCUGCAUUUGAUACGUGUAGACUAGAGUGUGAGAGAGGGUUGUGGAAUUCCCAGUGUAGAGGUGAAAUUCGUAGAUAUUGGGAAGAACACCGGUGGCGAAGGCGGCAACCUGGCUCAUGACUGACGCUGAGGCGCGAAAGCGUGGGGAGCAAACAGGAUUAGAUACCCUGGUAGUCCACGCUGUAAACGAUGUGUGCUAGAUGUUGGGUAACUUUGUUAUUCAGUGUCGCAGUUAACGCGUUAAGCACACCGCCUGGGGAGUACGG
rnacentral:rRNA from 1 species